ACAUCUACAACCGCUCAGCUAUAAGUUUAAGUACAUGAAAAUGUCACUUAUACUGGCGAGUCUUAGAUAA
rnacentral:sRNA from 1 species